rnacentral:rRNA from 1 species
GACGAACGCUGGCGGCGUGCUUAACACAUGCAAGUCGAACGGAAAGGCCCUGCUUUUGUGGGGUGCUCGAGUGGCGAACGGGUGAGUAACACGUGAGUAACCUGCCCUUGACUUUGGGAUAACUUCAGGAAACUGGGGCUAAUACCGGAUAGGAGCUCCUGCUGCAUGGUGGGGGUUGGUAAGUUUCGGCGGUUGGGGAUGGACUCGCGGCUUAUCAGCUUGUUGGUGGGGUAGUGGCUUACCAAGGCUUUGACGGGUAGCCGGCCUGAGAGGGUGACCGGCCACAUUGGGACUGAGAUACGGCCCAGACUCCUACGGGAGGCAGCAGUGGGGAAUAUUGCACAAUGGGCGGAAGCCUGAUGCAGCAACGCCGCGUGCGGGAUGACGGCCUUCGGGUUGUAAACCGCUUUCGCCUGUGACGAGGCGUGAGUGACGGUAAUGGGUAAAGAAGCACCGGCUAACUACGUG